rnacentral:sRNA from 1 species
AUGAACAUUUUCAGCCAUCUCUUGAUCAGUUUACACUUGCGGAGCUGUUGGGCAAACCAUUUAUAUGAGAGGAUAUGAUCUGGUUGCAUCCAAGCGUUUUUCUUGGGCUGGGAGAGUGCGAUGUUGGCAUGGUUCAAUCAAACCGGGCAAACUUAUGCACUAGCUAAGCAAGAUGCAGGGAUAUGCAGUAUGGUUUUGUUUGGUCUGAUUGAGCCGUGCCAAUAUCACAAGCUUGCCUGGCUUAAUUACAUGUAGUAGUGUGAGGAUAUUGGAUUCUUCCACAAGGUAUGAGAAUUGUCAUGUUGUGUAUUUGUGCUCCUUUAUGCGUGUUAUUUCACAUGCCUGCCUAUUAGAUUUAAGUUUCUUUAUGUUGUUUCAUGCAAAGCUUUCAGAAACUAUUUUGUCUGACGGUUCAAGCUUUACAGAUUUAAGUUUUGCUGCUGGUACUAGCUGGUCAAAUGGCACUAAAAGGUUUAAAACCAUGUGAAUAUUUAUGAAUAUCAAUGUAGUAGUAACAUAAAUCUUACUCCUAUCAAAGAAAAAUCCCUCAUCAGCAGCACACUAAUCCUGACGUGUACGCAACCAAACAAGCCCUGCUUCUGUUCUUCCUCUUCUUCUUUUUCACACUGUUUUUCAGUUGAGUAGUUAUCUUUCAUGCAUGCUUUGGUGUAGAUUGAGAUGUCCAACUUGAUGUGAUGAUCUGGAAAAGAAGAAGCAAUCUGAAGGUUGUCCAACUUAAGGUUUGAUGCCUUAGAUCAAAUGGCCCAGCAUCUGUACCUAACCUAGAUGAUAUGACCUAAAACCUGCAACGAGCUGUCUGAAUGUCUGAUCGAGAAGCAAUCUGAAGCCUCUUCUUUUUUCAGAUACUAUAAUGCCAUUGACCUGACUCUUCAGGUUGUGCUAUCUCCAGGCACCAUGUCCUCUCAAGGCCCAUUUAGAAAGGCCAAUCCACACGGUCCAAGAAAUGGCCCAUUAAGGGUCUUGAUGCAGAGGAUGAAGAUGAACAGUGAUCGAUAUGCUCAAAUGCAUAAGGGAGCCGUAUUGAUUCUCUGAUUAAAAAAAUAUCCAACGACUUGGAUUUAGGCCAUGUUAUAUUCACUGGAUUAUUGAAAAAGAUUAUUUACUGUAUUCUUAAAAAAUAUGUUUUUUUUCCUCAAAAGACUGUCUUCUAUUGUACUGUUUAGAGCACUUGUUUUAAGUUUGGAGUAUUUGUAAAGCUUAUUUGUUUUUUGAACGGAAGCCAGCACUAGAGCGUGCUAUUUAAUUGAAUAUAGAUGAAGAAAAAUACAACCCCUAGGAGUAAGGAAAAACUGUACAGAGUUACAUGUCGUCUAUGAAGAAAAAUUCC